CUCACCGAUGAAGAGGAUGGGGAAAGUGAUGAAGAGCAGGAAGACAUGCGGCACCACGUUGAGAGCAUCCACGAAGCAACCGUUGUUGAGGACGCCCUUGUCCACCCGGUGCUUACACACCCUCCGUCCCACCAGCUGGAGCCUAGAACUGCCCAGAAGGGACCUGACCGCGGGAUUCCUGCUCGGGCCUGGAAAGGUGAGGGGCCCAAGGCUUCUCCUUCGAGGCCAUCGAUUCCUUCACAAAAGACCCAGGAGUAGACUUCUGGUUUUGGAAGAAGAAAUCACUAAUGAGGGAGCUCCAGCCUGUUUGGUACCCGCAUGGAUUCAUCUCUUGGUCAAGAAGAAGUCAGAAGCUGGCUCGUAAUGUGAGCUUGUACCCCACCUCAUUCUCCAUCCAGAGGCAGUGGAAGCCAGAGGAGACAGCCCUUAUCUGAUCCUCUGGAGAUGCCCUGGAGGGGUCCCAAGGGGCUUACCAGGA